rnacentral:rRNA from 1 species
GAUGAACGCUGGCGGCGUGCCUAAUACAUGCAAGUAGAACGCUGAAGGAAGGAGCUUGCUCUUUCCGGAUGAGUUGCGAACGGGUGAGUAACGCGUAGGUAACCUGCCUGGUAGCGGGGGAUAACUAUUGGAAACGAUAGCUAAUACCGCAUAACAGUAGAUGUUGCAUGAUAUCUACUUAAAAGGUGCAAUUGCACCACUACCAGAUGGACCUGCGUUGUAUUAGCUAGUUGGUGAGGUAACGGCUCACCAAGGCGACGAUACAUAGCCGACCUGAGAGGGUGGUCGGCCACACUGGGACUGAGACACGGCCCAGACUUCUACGGGAGGCAGCAGUAGGGAAUCUUCGGCAAUGGACGGAAGUCUGACCGAGCAACGCCGCGUGAGUGAAGAAGGUUUUCGGAUCGUAAAGCUCUGUUGUAAGAGAAGAACGAGUGUGAGAGUGGAAAGUUCACACUGUGACGGUAUCUUACCAGAAAGGGACGGCUAACUACGUG